rnacentral:lncRNA from 1 species
GACUGCUGGUGUAGUCUAUUACCAGAAACUAUAGGAGCAUAACGACUGCUGGUGUAGCCUAUUACCAGAAACUAUAGGAGCAUAACGACUGCUGGUGUAGCCUAUUACCAGAAACUAUAGGAGCAUAACGACUGCUGGCUAUUACCAGAAACUAUAGGAGCAUAACGACUGCUGCUGUAGCCUAUUACCAGAAACUAUAGGAGCAUAACGACUGCUGGUGUAGCCUAUUACCAGAAACUAUAGGAGCAUAACGACUGCUGGUGUAGCCUAUUAACAGAAACUAUAGGAGCAUAACGACUGCUGGUGUAGCCUAUUACCAGAAACUAUUGGAGCAUAACGACUGCUGGUGUAGCCUAUUACCAGAAACUACAGGAGCAUAACGACUGCUGGUGUAGCCUAUUACCAGAAACUACAGGAGCAUAACGACUGCUGGAAUAGCCUAUUACCAGAAACUAUAGGAGCAUAACGACUGCUGGUGUAACCUAUUACCAGAAACUAUAGGAGCAUAACGACUGGUGGUGUAGUCUAUUACCAGAAACUAUAGGACCAUAACAUCAGAAUUUACGAAGGCCAGCAGCAGCGGAAGGAGUAGGCUAAGGAAGAGUUUUUUUCUGAUGGUUAGGCUAUCUUAAUCUCUGGCUCCCUCGAGUCAUUUGUGUGUCUUAAUUAUUUAAUAAGUCCCAAAAUGGAUGUAACAACCGCUGAUUGCCCCUUUAAGAGAACAUAUUGGGCUAAGCUAAUAGGAGAUAUUGAGGACUACAGUAUUUCAGGCAUUGUCAUUGGAUGCAUUUGAUCAAUUGUUAACGUUUUGUUGAUG